rnacentral:rRNA from 2 species
CUGGUGGGUAGUUUGACUGGGGCGGUCUCCUCCUAAAGAGUAACGGAGGAGCACGAAGGUUGGCUAAUCCUGGUCGGACAUCAGGAGGUUAGUGCAAUGGCAUAAGCCAGCUUGACUGCGAGCGUGACGGCGCGAGCAGGUGCGAAAGCAGGUCAUAGUGAUCCGGUGGUUCUGAAUGGAAGGGCCAUCGCUCAACGGAUAAAAGGUACUCCGGGGAUAACAGGCUGAUACCGCCCAAGAGUUCAUAUCGACGGCGGUGUUUGGCACCUCGAUGUCGGCUCAUCACAUCCUGGGGCUGAAGUAGGUCCCAAGGGUAUGGCUGUUCGCCAUUUAAAGUGGUACGCGAGCUGGGUUUAGAACGUCGUGAGACAGUUCGGUCCCUAUCUGCCGUGGGCGCUGGAGAACUGAGGGGGGCUGCUCCUAGUACGAGAGGACCGGAGUGGACGCAUCACUGGUGUUCGGGUUGUCAUGCCAAUGGCACUGCCCGGUAGCUAAAUGCGGAAGAGAUAAGUGCUGAAAGCAUCUAAGCACGAAACUUGCCCCGAGAUGAGUUCUCCCUGAGACUUAGAGUCUCCUGAAGGAACGUUGAAGACGACGACGUUGAUAGGCCGGGUGUGUAAGCGCAGCGAUGCGUUGAGCUAACCGGUACUAAUGAACCGUGAGGCUUAACCUUACAACGCCGAAG